GCCAACGUUCAUAUCACGUUGAAUACACCAGUUCUCGUCCGAUCACUGAAGUUAAGCAACGUUGAGCGUGGAUAGUACUUGGAUGGGUGACCGCUUGGGAACACCACGUAACGUUGGCGAAU
rnacentral:rRNA from 1 species